GACUUGAUCUGUUGGUGAUCGUAUUCUGUUGGUGACUCUUGGUUCCUGUUGGUGACUUGGUUCUGAAGAAUGGGUCUCAGAUGACUUUGGGGUUCCAGAUGACUUUGUGGUUCCGAAUUCAGGCCGAAGCUUUGAUCUUGUGCUCCAUGAUACAUAGCCAACCGGUCGUGUUUGCAUCAUUUGCAUCAUAGCAUAUUUAUUUUCAAAAAAAAAAAUAAUGCAAAAAAAAGAAAUGAAAAAAAGGAAAAAAAGAAAAGAAAAAAGCU
rnacentral:lncRNA from 1 species